rnacentral:lncRNA from 1 species
AUGGCUCUAAGUACAAGUCUGAAUCCUCAUUGUUUCCUGCAUCACAACAUUAGCAAUAACCAGUCUGAAUCCUCAUUAAGGAAAACGUUAUGGAACCAUGAAAUGAGUACCAAAAUUUCAAAAAAUGUUCUUCUUUUAAAGAAUCUUUUUGGGAUUAUUAGGAUAUAAUUAUACUCCUUAAACGUAUGACAGAAUUUUUAAGAAAGGUGAUGAAUUUUGUUGGGGGUAAGUUAUGAUACCUGAACAUUGGCAAAAUGGUCAUUAUCAUAAAUUUAACAUACGGACUGCUAAAGUUGAGAACAAGAGACCAAACAUAAUAUUAUCAAACAAUGAAAUGAGAGUACCAUAUUUUCAAAAAGACACUAUUUUUAAGGAUUUAGUGUUCAGCUAUGCUCCUUCAACAUAUUCGGAAAGAGAGAAAUUUUGUUGAAAUUUCAUCAUGCUCCUUGAAAAUGGAAAAGAAAGAGACGAAGAUAAGGACAUGUUGUUUAACAUCUAGGUGAUGACCCAGGUACAAAAAGCGAUUGAGAAACCAUGAAAUAAGGACCAAAUUUGCAAAAAGAUUCCCUAGCUCUUGGACCUAAACCAGCAACCUGACUAUAGAAGUAAAGAGUAGUAUAUCACAUUUUAAAAAAUCAUAAAUAUAUUUUGCCUUGUGGAAUACACAAAUGCAAAACAUGAAAACCUCAGAGAUUAUAAGAACAAAUAAACAAUAUCUAAUUAUAGCACAAAAGAAUGUAACAACUAUUGAGAGCUAAUUCAGAGGCUGCUGCUCACGUGUUUUAUUUUAAUGUGGAAUAAAUCAAACUAGUGUUUGAAAGUCCUCUAUUUUUAUGUAAGUUUUUGUUUUAAAUAGACCUGCUAUGUACGUGACUGAUAUGUCACUUUUCUCUGUUAUGAAGUUCAAUAAGAAAAGCCUCAAAAAGCUUUGGUAUGCUCUGUCCCUGUUUAGGUUACCAAAAACUGCAUAGUUUUUUCCAGUUUUGCCCUUCUAACUUUUGUCCCCUGUAAAGUUGCUUUCAUGUCCCUGUUUCUAUUUUGGUGUAAAGUUUCUAUUGGUGCUGCUAAAGUCCAACAACAACAUACCAGAUGAUAAGACACAAAUCCAGAAAAUAUAAGACAUUUUAAUCUAGGCAGCACAUUAUCACUGCAACACUUCUUGAGAAAAAAAAAGUUAUGUGCCUCAUAUCA